rnacentral:rRNA from 1 species
CCUACGGGUGGCAGCAGUAGGGAAUAUUGCUCAAUGGUGGAAACACUGAACCAGCCAAGCCGCGUGGAGGAUGAAGGUUCUCGGUUUGGAAAACCUCUUUGGUAGAGGAGAUAAUGCUGGUAUCUAUCGCAUAAGCACUGGCUAACUCCGUGCCAGCACCCGCGGUAAUACGGCGGCAGCAAGCGUUACUCGGAAUAACUGGGCGUAAAGGGGGCGUAGGCGGGAUAGCAAGUCAGAUGGGAAAUCCUAUGGCUUAACCAUAGAACUGCAGUUGAAACUGUUAGUCUAGAGUAUGGGAGAGGUAGGUGGAAUUCUUGGUGUAGGGGUGAAAUGCGUAGAGAUCAAGAGGAAUACUCAUUGCGAAGGCGACCUGCUAGAACAUAACUGACGCUGAUGCGCGAAAGCGUGGGGAGCAAACAGGAUUAGAUACCCCUGUAGUC